rnacentral:rRNA from 1 species
CCAGACUCCUACGGGAGGCAGCAGUGGGGAAUCUUCCGCAAUGGGCGAAGGCCUGACGGAGCAACGCCGCGUGAUCGAAUGAAGGCCUUCGGGUUGUAAAGAUCUGUUGACAGGGACGAAUAAGCCAUGCGAAUAGUUUGGUGUAUGACGGUACCUGUUUAGAAAGCUCCGGCUAACUACGUGCCAGCAGCCGCGGUAAUACGGAGGGUGCGAGCGUUAAUCGGAAUUACUGGGCGUAAAGCGCUCGUAGGCGGUAUGUCAAGUCAAGGGUGAAAUCCCCGCGCUCAACGUGGGAACUGCCUUUGAAACUGGCAAACUGGAGUGUGUGAGAGGAUAGUGGAAUUCCAGGUGUAGGAGUGAAAUCCGUAGAUAUCUGGAGGAACAUCAGUGGCGAAGGCGACUAUCUGGCACAUAACUGACGCUGAGGAGCGAAAGCGUGGGUAGCAAACAGGAUUAGAUACCCCAGUA